CUCAUGGUUUCACGGUAUUGCAAUGAGAACAAUUUAAAACCCUUAGCGAGAAUCAAGUGGAGGACAAGUCUGGUGCCAGCACCCGCGGUAAUUCCAGCUCCACUAGCGUAUAUUAAAGUUGUUGCAGUUAAAAAGCUCGUAGUUGAACCUCUGUCUGGGGCUAGUUUUGGCUUUGGUCAGGCUAGUUCUAGGCAUCCGCCUACAAGACUUAGAGGGCAUUCAGUUGUUCACUAGGAGGAGUAGGCAUUUUACUUUGAAAAAAUUAGAGUGUUUAAGGCAGGCAAUCGCCCGCAUAUAUUAGCAUGGAAUAAUAGAAUAGGACACUUUUCCAUUUCGUUGGUUAUUGGAAUCGUGUAAUGAUUAAUAGGGACAGUUGUGGGCAUUUGUAUUUAAUUGUCAGAGGUGAAAUUCUUGGAUUUAUUAAAGACAAACUAACGCGAAAGCAUUUGCCAAGGAUGUUUUCAUUAAUCAAGAACGAAAGUUAGGGGAUCAAAGACGAUCAGAUGCCGUCCUAGUCUUAACUAUAAACUAUUCCGACUCAAUGUUUGACUGGCUUAUAUAACCAGUUGAGCGUUGUAUGAGAAAUCAAAGUCUUUAGGUUCUGGGGGGAGUAUGGUUGCAAAGCUGAAACUUAAAGGAAUUGACGGAAGAGCACAACCAGGAGUGGAUUCUGCGGCUUAAUUUGACUCAACACGGGGAAACUUACCAGGUUAAAACAAUAGUGGGAUUGACAGUUUGAGAGCGCUUUCUUGAUUGGUUGGGUGGUGGUGCAUGGCCGUUCUUAGUUGGUGGAGUGAUUUGUCUGCUUAAUUGCGUUAACGAACGAGACCUUAACCUGCUUACUAGACUGGCGAUCAUCAAUCGUUAGCUCUUCUUAGAGGGACUUUGGUUGUUUUAACUCCAAGGAAGUUUGAGGCAAUAACAGGUCUGUGAUGCCCUUAGAUAUCCUGGGCCGCACGCGUCAUACAAUGACUAGUUCAGAAAGUUUUCUCCUGACCCGAAAGGGGAUGGGUAAUCUUGAUAAUACUAGUCGUGUUAGGGAUCGAUCUUUGCAAUUAUAGAUCUUGAACGAGGAAUUCCUAGUAAGUGCGGUUCAUCAGACCGUACUGAUUACGUCCCUGCUCUUUGUACACACCGCCCGUCGCUUCUACCGAGUGGGUGGUCCGGUGAGAUAAUUGAACUUCGCAGGUAACUGAGAGGAAAGAUUAUCAAACCUAUCCACCU
rnacentral:rRNA from 1 species